rnacentral:piRNA from 1 species
UGGCCACGCGCUGGGUGCCACAUCCUC